GAGUGCUCCAGGUGGGCCGACCGCUGCGGAGAGGAGCGGGGGAGAGGCUGGCGAUCAGGACAGAUGGAGAGGGAGCGGCCUGGAGAGACCGAGAACGAGGAGACAGAAAUAGCAAUGGAGCCAACCAGCGGGAGAGAGGCCACCCCUCCACCGGACCUCCUGAGUCCUUCACGCGGUAUCACAAGCUUGUCCCCUCCCUGCACAACUGGAGCCUGUUGCAGAGCCCUGGGGCCAGUCUGGGCCGCUUCU
rnacentral:lncRNA from 1 species